rnacentral:rRNA from 1 species
AGUGAACGCUGGCGGUAGGCCUAACACAUGCCAGUCGAACGGCAGCACAGUAAGAGCUUGCUCUUACGGGUGGCGAGUGGCGGACGGGUGAGGAAUACAUCGGAAUCUACUUUUUCGUGGGGGAUAACGUAGGGAAACUUACGCUAAUACCGCAUACGACCUACGGGUGAAAGUAGGGGAUCUUCGGACCUUGCGCGAUUGAAUGAGCCGAUGUCGGAUUAGCUAGUUGGCGGGGUAAAGGCCCACCAAGGCGACGAUCCGUAGCUGGUCUGAGAGGAUGAUCAGCCACACUGGAACUGAGACACGGUCCAGACUCCUACGGGAGGCAGCAGUGGGGAAUAUUGGACAAUGGGCGCAAGCCUGAUCCAGCCAUACCGCGUGGGUGAAGAAGGCCUUCGGGUUGUAAAGCCCUUUUGUUGGGAAAGAAAAGCAGCAGGUUAAUACCCCGCUGUUCUGACGGUACCCAAAGAAUAAGCACCGGCUAACUUCGU